CUUAAACCUAACUUGAUCAUUCA
rnacentral:siRNA from 1 species